UUGAAACACUGGUUCUCAUAUGAUCACUGAAGUUAAGCAAGGUUGGGCCUGAUUAGUACCUAGAUGGAUGACCUUUUGGGAAUACCAGGUGUUGUAAG